rnacentral:lncRNA from 1 species
AGCUGUCAGGAAGUGACAGGGCAUUUGCCAAAGUGGUUGACAACCGAUGAGAGCUCAUGCAUUAAGCCCCUUCCACAGCUUUGAGUGCUGUCACCUUGUGGCAGUGUUUCUGGGAACAGCUCUAACUAGAUAAAUUGCCUGAACUGAGACCUCAGAAGGAGUAAACAGACAAGUCCGAGAGACCCUUCUCCACCUCCUCCACCUUCCUGCACCACAGGUGAAGACAGCCACUCUGGCCACCUACACUGCCUCGCUGCCCGUCGUGUAACCAAAGAUUCCACCAAUGGAUCAUACUCCUCUUCCACAGUAUAAAAAUUCUUGCUGAAACCAGAUGUCCAGACGGGAUAUACAAGACCCUGCACCUUUUUAUAUCUAGGUGGUCCAAAUGACUGAGUGCUGGCCAAGGGAAGGUAGGAGCAAUGGAAUUUCCUUGUGGGAGUGGUGCAGACAGUGGCAGAAAGCUCUACUCCUUUCCACAAUUGUAAUUCAGACAUACAGACAUCUAUCUGGCAGACUUGGAUUGGAUGGGAAGCCCAAGAAGGAAUUUACUCUAAGGAGCACUGAAGCCUUCAGAUUUCUGAUGGGCACCAGAGGUCUGGAGGGGAGCGCUGGGCUGAGAGCAGGGCUGAUCCUGAUACUGAAGACUUCCCCAAGCCAGUCACAAGAGAAACUGCUUGUCCUUGAAAAGAAAGAAAGAACAAUAUAU